AUUGAACGCUGGCGGCAGGCCUAACACAUGCAAGUCGAGCGAGAGGCGGACGGGUGAGUAAUGUAUGGGGACUGCCCGAUAGAGGGGGAUAACUCCUGUAAACGGUGUAUAAUAUCGCAUACUGUCUGAUAACCCCUAUGGGAUUAGCUAGUAGGUCUGGUAAUGGCUUACCACGGCGACGAUCCCUAGCUGGUCUGAGAGGGUGAUCAGCCACACGGGAACUGAGACACGGCCCCGACUCCUACGGAGGCAGCAGUGUGGAAUAUUGCACAAUGGGCGCAAGCCUGAUGCAGCCAUGCCGCGUGUAUGAAGAAGGCCCUAGGGUUGUAAAGUACUUUCAGUCGGGAGGCGUUACCGACAGAAGAAGCACCGGCUAACUCCGUGCCAGCAGCCGCGGUAAUAC
rnacentral:rRNA from 1 species